AGCGAACGCUGGCGGCAGGCCUAACACAUGCAAGUCGAACGAACUCUUCGGAGUUAGUGGCGGACGGGUGAGUAACACGUGGGAACGUGCCUUUAGGUUCGGAAUAACUCAGGGAAACUUGUGCUAAUACCGAAUGUGCCCUUCGGGGGAAAGAUUUAUCGCCUUUAGAGCGGCCCGCGUCUGAUUAGCUAGUUGGUGAGGUAAAGGCUCACCAAGGCGACGAUCAGUAGCUGGUCUGAGAGGAUAAUCAGCCACAUUGGGACUGAGACACGGCCCAAACUCCUACGGGAGGCAGCAGUGGGGAAUCUUGCGCAAUGGGCGAAAGCCUGACGCAGCCAUGCCGCGUGAAUGAUGAAGGUCUUAGGAUUGUAAAAUUCUUUCACCGGGGACGAUAAUGACGGUACCCGGAGAAGAAGCCCCGGCUAACUUCGUG
rnacentral:rRNA from 1 species